CAAGUCUUUUGAGAUCGGAUGGUUUCAUAAAACAGAGUUUCCCUGCCUGUCGCCAUGCAAGACAUGACUUUGCUCCUCCUUCACCUUCUGCCGUGAUUGUCAGGCCUCUCCAGCCGUGUGGAACUGUGAGUCCAUUGAAUCUCUUUUUCUUUAUAAAUUACCCAGCCUCGGGUUUGUCUUUAUUCGCAGCUUGAAAACGGACUAAUACAAAAGAGUACAU
rnacentral:lncRNA from 1 species